GAGUUUGAUCCUGGCUCAGGAUGAACGCUGGCGGCAUGCCUAAUACAUGCAAGUCGAACGGGGUGCUUGCACCCAGUGGCGAACGGGUGAGUAACACGUAUCUAAUCUACCUUUUAGUGGGGGAUAACAGUUGGAAACGACUGCUAAUACCGCAUACGACACCAUUAUGGCAUCAGAAGGUGUUGAAAGGCCCGUUUGGGUCGCUAAAAGAUGAGGAUGCGGCGUAUUAGCUAGUAGGUGGGGUAAUGGCCUACCUAGGCGAUGAUACGUAGCCGAACUGAGAGGUUGAUCGGCCACAUUGGGACUGAGAUACGGCCCAGACUCCUACGGGAGGCAGCAGUAGGGAAUUUUUCACAAUGGACGCAAGUCUGAUGAAGCAAUGCCGCGUGAGUGAUGACGGUCUUCGGAUUGUAAAGCUCUGUUGUAAGGGAAGAAUAGCUAGAGUANGAAAUGACUCUAGUCUGACGGUACCUUACCAGAAAGNCACGGCUAACUAUGUGCCAGCAGCCGCGGUAAUACAUNNGUGGCAAGCGUUAUCCGGAUUUAUU
rnacentral:rRNA from 1 species